CCUUUCCUUCCACGUUAUUCGCAACAGAUGUCCUGCCAAACUACAUGCUAUAUAUAUAUAUAUAUAACGCCAUCACCACCACUACCACCACCAAACUAUUAUUAACUCCAACUCCACAGCAAAAACCACACAAAUAUUAAAUUUCCAUGGAUCAUUUUAGAAGCUUCUUCAGUUGUUUUUCCGGUUCAAGUAAGGUGGCGUCUCAAGGUAACAAUACUGCACCAACAUCCAGCAACGUUAAAGCCAAAUCGAAGGAAAGAAACACUAAGAAAAGCCCUACGAUCCCGAUGACUUACUUCCCCAUUGGAACCAGAUUUAGUCGCUUGUGAAGGGCUCCAACUACAGUUUCUUUUCAUCUUCCACAUUAUUAACGAAUCAACCAUGUUUCGUUGAGGGAAGUGCUGAGUUACUCUGUGAUUCUUUCUUCCAUUUAGUAGUGGGAAAAGGAAUUAAGUUUGGAAUUGAGCAAAGGCUAACUGUUAUGCAAAUAGCUGGGUUUUUUUUAGAGCUAUGAUUGUAGAGUUUAGUAGUAUAUUAUUCUUUUGGUUUAAUUCUUCCACCAGUCCCUGCAUUUUAAAAUUUAGUCUUUUUACUUAUCUGAUUUAAGAAUCAAAAUCCAAUAAUGAGAAAAAAAAAAGAGAGGACGAGGAUUAUUAUAAAACUUAUUAAUAAAGACAGAAAUUGUAUAAAUCAAAACAGUUUAAAAUAUGC
rnacentral:lncRNA from 1 species